UCAUAUAUUUAUUAGAUACAGGUAAUACACUAUCAAAAAGUUUGAUUCGUCAAGCUCAGGUAUCAAAGCAGUUUUUUAAAUUAGAUUAUGCAAUAUAUUUGGUAACUUACAGUAACAGGGUUGUGAGUAACAGGGUUGUAAAUCUAUGCUAAGUUGUGGUUUACCCCAGGAACAGAUGCUAACUGUAAAAUUUAGCUAUGUAUACAAGAUCAAGGACAAACAUGGUUAUAUAAGUAUAUAAAGUAAAUUUGACUCUACUCAUUAUUAGUCUUACAGUAUGAGUAACAGGGUUGAGUUCACUGAGUGACACAAACAACUUGGACAAACAUAUUUAGAAAAAAAUCAUGAAAAUUGUUAGAGCACUUACUCUUGGUCUUGCCAUGUGGGCAGAAAAUGUCCUUGUGAUGUCACUUCCUUUGUGCCAGUAGACAAAUAUUUUUAACUCUUUCUCUGCAGGUAAAACUCCUUAUGGUAACAGGGUUGAGCGCAUGUUGUGGGACACAACUUAAUAUCAUAAAAACUGUAACAUGCAAAACAAUGUAGACCAAAGAAGUUGUUUUCAUGAGUAAAGGAGAUGCAGAUCAACAAUAUACAAGAGGAAGUCAUUUAUUUAGAGCUUAUUUUAAUUGUUUAAUUUGCCAAAGGAGUUGGUCACCCAAUGAGUGGGACAAGAGAAAACAGCCAUUUUUUGAGGUGCUCCAAAGGUAUUCGGUCUUUUGAAUAAUAUCUAAGGAGCUUAUUUUUCCACCAUAUUUUACAGUUUGUUUUAUAACAAGUACAUUUUUCACAAAAAAUAGUCAUUUAGAUAUUUUGGAUAUGUACAUUUGAAAUUUAAGAGGUGGGACAGGAAAAUCCUGGAAUGUCCCUGAACAGUAUUUAAACUGUAAUCAGACAGGUAGGAAGGUGGUACAGACUGUAGUUAAUAUACUAUAUUAUAUUACCCGUCAGUGGUGCUAGGAUUAAAGUGAGUAAACGUGUAUUAAACAGUGUUAUGGAGCGUAUAGACUGGAGCAGGAUUAAAUGGUACAGGCUGUUAAUGGCUGACUCUACUCUGACUCUAAAGGUUUUAUUACUCAGACAACAGCACACAUGCCUUUAAUUAUUUAAUAUGUAUUGCAAUGUUUUUGUAAUCAGAUUUGUUUGUAGUUUUAAUCAGUUGUAUUAAAUGCAUCAUCAUCAUUUUUGUAAUGAUGUUAAAGUAUGUUUUAUUCCUGGGCAGAUUCUGCUCUGUUGAAAUAUAAUCCUAUAAUAAAGUCCUAUUCAACAUCAUGUUACAAA